rnacentral:rRNA from 1 species
UGGGGAAUAUUGGACAAUGGGCGAAAGCCUGAUCCAGCAAUGCCGCGUGAGUGAUGAAGGCCUUAGGGUUGUAAAGCUCUUUUACCAGGGAUGAUAAUGACAGUACCUGGAGAAUAAGCUCCGGCUAACUCCGUGCCAGCAGCCGCGGUAAUACGGAGGGAGCUAGCGUUGUUCGGAAUUACUGGGCGUAAAGCGCACGUAGGCGGCGACUCGAGUCAGAGGUGAAAGCCCGGGGCUCAACCCCGGAACUGCCUUUGAAACUAGGUUGCUAGAAUCCUGGAGAGGUGAGUGGAAUUCCGAGUGUAGAGGUGAAAUUCGUAGAUAUUCGGAAGAACACCAGUGGCGAAGGCGACUCACUGGACAGGUAUUGACGCUGAGGUGCGAAAAGCGUGGGGAGCAAACAGGAUUAGAUACCCUGGUAGUCCACGCCGUAAACGAUGAUAACUAGCUGUCCGGGCACUUGGUGCUUGGGUGGCGCAGCUAACGCAUUAAGUUAUCCGCCUGGGGAGUACGGUCGCAAGAUUAAAACUCAAAGGAAUUGACGGGGUCAUAGCUGUUUCCU